rnacentral:rRNA from 1 species
UACGGAGGAUGCAAGCGUUAUCCGGAUUCAUUGGGUUUAAAGGGUGCGUAGGCGGGCUAUUAAGUCAGUGGUGAAAUCCUGCAGCUUAACUGCAGAACUGCCGUUGAUACUGAUAGUCUUGAGUUUGGUUAAGGUAGGCGGAGUGUGUAAUGUAGCGGUGAAAUGCUUAGAUAUUACACAGAACACCAAUUGCGUAGGCAGCUUACUGAGCCGACACUGACGCUGAGGCACGAAAGCAUGGGUAGCGAACA